UUGAGCGAAAUGCGGGGAAACUUGCACGUUUCGUUCUGAGGGGAGGACCCGGUGGCAACAUCGGGUCCUUACCCGAC
rnacentral:ncRNA from 1 species